CAGUUCGGAUUGUAGUCUGCAACCCGACUACAUGAAGCUGGAAUCGCUAGUAAUCGCGGAUCAGAAUGCCGCGGUGAAUACGUUCCCGGGUCUUGUACACACCGCCCGUCACACCAUGGGAGUCGGAAAUGCCCGAAGUCUGUGACCCAACCUACGGGAGGGAGCAGCCGAAGGCAGGUCGGAUGACUGGGGUGAAGUCGUAACAAGGUAUC
rnacentral:rRNA from 1 species